AAGCUAGAUUAAUAUAAGUAGCUUAUAUAAUUUAUAUAGAAUAUUGCAUUGAAGCUGCAAAAGA
rnacentral:tRNA from 1 species